GGCCGGGCCCUGGAAGUUCUGGAGCGUGAACCGGGUCAGGCGGGGAACCGAGCAGCCCUAAGCGGAUCCAGUUCUGUUCAGAUCAGUCCGGCCGGG
rnacentral:SRP_RNA from 1 species